UAAGAAAUAAGAAGAAACUAUGUUUUAUUGCUACAAUUUAUUAAUGGAUGUCUGGACUGUUUUUUGGAUUGCAAAAGGAAAGGUUAUUUUGAAAGCGUGUCUUGUCAGAUGUUGCCAGGGGGGAAAGGUGAAAUGUGUGCUUAAGUUGUGAAAGAGGAAGUCUUAUAUGUGUUAACUUUUAUCAUAGACAAGCGAUAUUUUAGCGAAGUAAGACACAUGACUGUGGUCAAGUCAUCUGUUAGAAAGAUCAUGGGAUGCUUAAACUUUUGAACCUUAAAUUUGUCAGUUAUGCUAGAAUUUAGC